UUAUUCAAUUACGAACAAUGAAACAUUUUUCUUUUAAGUGAAUUUCUAUUAUAAUAGAAGUUUGUCAAGUACAUCUCAGUGAAGCAGAAAAUCUUCAGGCAAACAUCGACAUCAAAGUGAUACCAUACGGAUACCAAAAAAAUCCUAUGGAACAAAGAAGCAGAUAAUGAUCACAGAAGUGCAACAAAGAGCACCAGGACCUGAUCAUCAAAUGUUAUGGUGUAGAUUUAAUCAGGAACAGGACACCUAAGUUGAACUCUGGCAAGGUUGUCCCUUGCAGAAGGUUUGAUACCCAGGCUUCUUUUGUACAAGUCCCUAGUCCACCCUCAUCUUGAGAACUGCUCCGGUGUCUGGGAUCCCUACAACAUCUCAGAUGUCCAGGACGCUACUUCACAAUGGGGACCACAAGAGAAGCAGCAGUUUGACUGAGAUGAUCAGCACCUUUAGUUGCCUACUAUAUCUACAACUACAAGGCACCCUGCAAGAGGACUGGGAAUGGUGCACAAGAUAGUCAAUGGUCUCUCCGCUCUCCCUUGAAAAUUUUCCCACUGUACUACUUAUAGCUACUUGUGCCCUCUAUAUAGCAAACAAUGCCUAAUCGGUGCCUGUUGGUCCCCCAUGAUCCUCUUCUU